GACGAACGCUGGCGGCGUGCCUAAUACAUGCAAGUUGAGCGCUGAAGGUUGGUACUUGUACCAACUGGAUGAGCAGCGAACGGGUGAGUAACGCGUGGGGAAUCUGCCUUUGAGCGGGGGACAACAUUUGGAAACGAAUGCUAAUACCGCAUAAAAACUUUAAACACAAGUUUUAAGUUUGAAAGAUGCAAUUGCAUCACUCAAAGAUGAUCCCGCGUUGUAUUAGCUAGUUGGUGAGGUAAAGGCUCACCAAGGCGAUGAUACAUAGCCGACCUGAGAGGGUGAUCGGCCACCUUGGGACUGAGACCCGGCCCAAACUCCUACGGGAGGCAGCAGUAGGGAAUCUUCGGCAAUGGACGAAAGUCUGACCGAGCAACGCCGCGUGAGUGAAGAAGGUUUUCGGAUCGUAAAACUCUGUUGGUAGAGAAGAACGUUGGUGAGAGUGGAAAGCUCAUCAAGUGACGGUAACUACCCAGAAAGGGACGGCUAACUACGUG
rnacentral:rRNA from 1 species